rnacentral:lncRNA from 1 species
UCCAAACCUCACCCCAAGCGCUGUCGCCGGCCUGGCAGAGAGCAAAGCGCAGGAGGAGAUUCAAUUACCCCGAUCGGCAGCUCAGAAAAUCGCAGCCGCUUAGCCGGGCGCUUAGGCGACGCUUGAGGAGGGGCCUCCCGAGACCCGCACCGGCCCCGGCUACCCGCGCUCUGGGCGCAGAGCGAAUCCAAAGAACAAGGGGAUUCCGCCAGGUCCCUGGAGACCCUUGGAGAUGCCUUUCUGGAAACUGCAAGCAGCCAGCUGGCCCGGCCUGAGCCUCCCCCGAGGUGUGGACUCCUGCGUUGGAUGCGGGAUCGCUGGGUUUUCCAGCCAGGAAGGAACCCGCGUGGGACAGCCAGGUGCCACGCCCGGUAGCCAUAAGCCGAGACGGCCUAUAAACUGGGGGCCUGCGCUCUCCAUGUAUGCACGAGCCAGACGGACCGACGGACAAUCUUCCAAAGCCUCACCCGCUAGGCCUGCCACACAGUUGUGCCACUUCGAGUCUCCAGCAAACCUCCGGCGGCGAUGGCCAGCCAGGUCAGUCCCCUGGAUCAGCCCCGGGCUCCGGUAUUGAGGUGACCGUCCCCCCCUGUCCCGAUCAGAGCAGAUUCAUUCCACUUUAUGCAUCGGAUGAUGGUGUCCACGGGACCACUCCAGAGGGAUAAAAUCCUCCUGGUCCAUUUUUGACUUUGGUCUUGUUCGAUCCUGAGCAAAAAUGCUGCUUUUGAUGGCACUAAGGAGCUGUCACGUUCUCUAUACCGAGACAAGAUUUUUUUUUUCUUUUUCCCGGAGACUGAGGAAAGUUGGCUGAGAAAAA